rnacentral:tRNA from 1 species
CAGGAAGAGGCUGGCUGAGCUGAAGGACUAAAGAUUUUAUAGAGUUUAUAAAAAGCGCAGAUGACUCUGGAUCAUGGAAUCGGGGUUCGAAUCCCUGCUUCCCAGCCA